rnacentral:rRNA from 1 species
AUUGAAUGCUGGCGGCAGGCCUACCACAUGCAAGUCGAACGAGUGGCGGACGGGUGCAUAAUGUCUGGGAAACUGCCUGAUGGAGGGGGAUAACUACUGGAAAGGGUAGCACAUACCGCAUACCCUCGGAUGUGCCCAGAUGGGAUUAGCUUGUAGGUGGGGUAAAGGCUCAUCUAGGCGACGAUCCCUCGCUGGUCUGAGAGGAUGACCAGCCACACUGGAAUGGAGACACAGUCCAGACUCCUACGGGAGUCAGCAGUGGAGAAUAGUGCACAAUGGGCGCAAGCCAGAUGCAGCCAUGCCGCGUGUAUGAAGAAGGCCUUCGGGUUGUAAAGUACUUUCAGCGGGGAGGCGUUACCCGAAGAAGAAGCACCGGCUAACUCCGUGCCAGCAGCCGCGGUAAUAC